CCCGCGAGAGCUGGGGCUGCGGGUCUUGCUACCUGAAACUGGAGCGAUCCCUCUUGGGUCAUUUGUUUUAGUAAUGGUGCGUUAGAACAUCACUGACGUCUUGGUUUCUGGCCCCACCUGUUGCCCGAUCUAUUCCAGGUCUGGGAUUUCAAGCCUACCCUAGCCUUGGCCCCUGGAGAAGCUCCACCACAGGGGGCUUUAGAAUGACCUUCUGGAUGAACAAUUCCAAUUCUGAUGGACGGACUCUUUCCAACAAUGAGCUGAUGGAGGCCAGUUCCAAUGAUCUUGUAAUGAAUAGAGGAGAGGACUGUGGGAAUUAAAUAUGAAUCACAACAUAA